UAUUUUCCUUUUUUUCCCUCCGCCGCGGUAAUACGUAUGGUGCAAGCGUUAUCCGGAUUUACUGGGUGUAAAGGGAGCGCAGGCGGAAGGCUAAGUCUGAUGUGAAAGCCCGGGGCUCAACCCCGGUACUGCAUUGGAAACUGGUCAUCUAGAGUGUCGGAGGGGUAAGUGGAAUUCCUAGUGUAGCGGUGAAAUGCGUAGAUAUUAGGAGGAACACCAGUGGCGAAGGCGGCUUACUGGACGAUAACUGACGCUGAGGCUCGAAAGCGUGGGGAGCAAACAGG
rnacentral:rRNA from 1 species